rnacentral:lncRNA from 1 species
GCCUGAGAGAUUGUGUGGCAAUUGCUGGAGUUUUCAUCUGUGGAAGUGUCUCCUUGGAUAUUAGUUUCUGGAAGAGAUGAACCUAAUUAGAGUAGAGGUGUUCAGCUGAGCUCCCUGAGUUCACUGUCAGUCCCUCCUGAUCAGCUGUGGCAGUUCCAGAGUACCCAUCUCUCUCCUGGGGCUGGGACUGACAAGACUUGGCUGCUUGGCUUUGUCUCUGAAAUCCUGUGACCUCUGUUAGUGUUUGAUUAUAUUUGUAGUUAGAUAGUGAACAGUUAGAACAGAUGUCUACAGUGGCACUGAUGAAAGACACCAUUGAUUCUCUGGAAACUGAGAUGAAAAGAUUGACAAGAAAAGACUGGAUCCUGAAACUGAGUGAGUUGACAGGAAGCUGAAUGUGCUUCUCUUAGAGCAAGUGUGAAUCAAACCAUUCUGAAACAGAACUGCUGAGAAAACAACUGGGAAAUGAAAAAGCAUCUAUGAAAAACCUGGAAUCUUCUCUUGUGUCCAAUUGUGAGAAGGAAUUUCAGUCACAGAGAGCAAACCAAGAGAAAGCCUCUGAAAUUCAGGUUCACAAGGAACAGCUUGCUUUAGUAGAAAAUAAUCUGAAAAUUGCAAGGGGAUUACAAUAUCAUGGAUUGGAGCCAAAGGAACUUUUGUCCAUGGUGAUGACAUACAGACUUCAAGUGACUUCUGACAGCAAUUAAUUGCUGCAUAAUUUUUGAUGAUUAAGAAAAAACCCCAUUCAAAAGAAGCAGGAUGUAUGGACACAGAGCGGUAGCUCCAUUACAAUAUGACAUCUGUUGUUCACCCUUUGUUGACCACUGCCAUCAUUCCAUCUUUUCUUUUUCCUCUUUCCAGUCACUAAUAAAGCUUGAACUUUAGCAAC